AUUGAACGCUGGCGGAAUGCUUUACACAUGCAAGUCGAACGGCAGCACGGAUUUCGGUCUGGUGGCGAGUGGCGAACGGGUGAGUAAUGUAUCGGAACGUGCCCAGUCGUGGGGGAUAACGUAGUGAAAAUUACGCUAAUACCGCAUACGAUCUAUGGAUGAAAGCGGGGGAUCGCAAGACCUCGCCCGAUUGGAGCGGCCGAUAUCAGAUUAGGUAGUUGGUGGGGUAAAGGCCCACCAAGCCAACGAUCCGUAGCUGGUCUGAGAGGACGACCAGCCACACUGGAACUGAGACACGGUCCAGACUCCUACGGGAGGCAGCAGUGGGGAAUUUUGGACAAUGGGCGAAAGCCUGAUCCAGCCAUUCCGCGUGCAGGAUGAAGGCCCUCGGGUUGUAAACUGCUUUUGUACAGAACGAAAAGGUUUCUACUAAUACUAGGAGCUCAUGACGGUACUGUAAGAAUAAGCACCGGCUAACUACGUGCCAGCCGCCGCGGUAA
rnacentral:rRNA from 1 species